rnacentral:rRNA from 1 species
GUGCAGCAGGCGAGAAAACUUUACAAUGCGGGAAACCGUGAUAAGGGAAUCUCGAGUGCCAGCAUAUAAUGUUGGCUGUCCAGAUGCCUAAAAAGCAUCUGUUAGCAAGGGCCGGGCAAGACCGGUGCCAGCCGCCGCGGUAACACCGGCGGCCCGAGUGGUAACCGUUUUUAUUGGGUCUAAAGGGUCUGUAGCCGGCCAUGUAAGUCCCUUGGGAAAUCUGGCAGCUCAACUGUCAGGCUGCUAGGGGAUACUGCUUGGCUUGGGACCGGGAGAGGUGAGAGGUACCUUGAGGGUAGGGGUGAAAUCUUGUGAUCCUCGGGGGACCACCAGUGGCGAAGGCGUCUCACCAGAACGGGUCCGACGGUAAGGGACGAAAGCUAGGGGCACGAACCGGAUUAGAUACCCAAGUAGUCC